AAUCACAUGAGCAGGACAGAUUCAGUUUAUGUUAGUGACAUGCCAUGUGCAAGUAGCCUGGGCGACUCGACCGUAGUCAGACAAUACAGAAAGCUAAGGAUCAGAAGUUUGUGAACGAAUAUAACCCGUGAGUCACAUUUUGGAGUUUAUUGGAUUUUAUCUAUGUUUUUUUUCGAACAGCAGCAAGGAUCAAGUCCAGCUGGGAUGAACAGAGCAUGAGGACUGUCCCUCACAACCCCACCCGGGAAACCCAAUGGUAUGCUGAGACAACGUCGGACCAGAGCCGGAUAUCCACAAGCUGUAUUAUGUCAUGUUGGGAGGUUGCUGCUCAGUGGUUAGUGCGCUGAGCUUCGGAUCACGCUGCAGUCAACAUUCCGCUGUGUCCUUGGACAAGACACUUCACCUCAAAUUGUUCCUGUGCGGAUUCCCCACAGUAUUGAAUGUAUGCAGUUGCUUUGGAUAAAAGCGUCUAACAAGUGACAUGUAAUGUCCUCUAACAGACAAUUAACAUGUCAUCUGAGUUUUUAAGAUAAAAAUACCUUAAACAACUUAUUUGUACAAACAUUUAGUCAUUGAGUCACUGAACUACAUAGUCACUGACGGCUUAAUGCAGCUACUGAGACAGGCGAAGCUGGAUGCAGCCUCCAUGCUUGAAGUGGAACAUCUGACUGAGUGGUGAAAGGACAACAACCUGGUCCAUAACAUCUAAAAUGUCUUUGUUUCUUCAAUGAUUAGAUAAUAUCACUCAGGUGUGUGUGUGGCCCCAAUCUGCCCAGCAACACCAUGGUUCCGCAGCCUGAGGUCGCGCUCCAACCGAAUUAAAAAAACAUUUUUUUUCACCAGGCUCUCAGGAGGCUGAACUCUCUUCCCACAGUAUUUCUAUCUCUUUGUCUGUACACACAAACUGACUAUAAAGUUGACUAUGAUAGUUACCUGAGAGCAUUUAAAAAUAUUUUUUCAGAAGAUUUGAAAGACCCACUAGUGUAAGGUUUAUUUUUUAAAUAAAAGCAUUUGAUCUUUAACCAUUUUAAUUCA